rnacentral:tRNA from 1 species
CCUCGUCAGGUCGUACUGGCUGAGCUCGACCAGCACGCGGUCGAACGGCAGGAUCUUGAUGUAGUUCUUGCGGAUCUUGCCGCUGAUGUGGGCCA